UACGGGGGGAGCAAGCGUUGUUCGGAUUUACUGGGCGUAAAGGGCGCGUAGGCGGCCAGCACAAGUCAGUUGUGAAAUCUCCGAGCUUAACUCGGAAAGGUCAACUGAUACUGUGCGGCUAGAGUGCAGAAGGGGCAACUGGAAUUCUUGGUGUAGCGGUGAAAUGCGUAGAUAUCAAGAGGAACACCUGCGGCGAAGGCGGGUUGCUGGGCUGACACGUGACGCUGGAGGCGCGGAAAGCUAGGGGAGCGAACGGG
rnacentral:rRNA from 1 species